CCCGCACGAAAGGCGCAACGAUCUGGGCACUGUCUCAACGAGAGACUCGGUGAAAUUAUAGUACCUGUGAAGAUGCAGGUUACCCGCGACAGGACGGAAAGACCCCGUGGAGCUUUACUGCAACCUGAUAUGGAAUGUUUGUACCGCUUGUACAGGAUAGGUAGGAGCCGAAGAGACGUGUGCGCUAGCAUACGAGGAGGCAAUGGUGGGAUACUACCCUGGCUGUAUGACCAUUCUAACCCGCCACGCUUAGCGCGUGGGGAGACAGUGUCAGGUGGGCAGUUUGACUGGGGCGGUCGCCUCCUAAAGAGUAACGGAGGCGCCCAAAGGUUCCCUCAGAAUGGAUGGAAAUCAUUCGCAGAGUGUAAAGGCACAAGGGAGCUUGACUGCGAGACUGACAAGUCGAGCAGGGACGAAAGUCGGGCUUAGUGAUCCGGUGGUUCCGCAUGGAAGGGCCAUCGCUCAACGGAUAAAAGCUACCCCGGGGAUAACAGGCUUAUCUCCCCCAAGAGUCCACAUCGACGGGGAGGUUUGGCACCUCGAUGUCGGCUCGUCGCAUCCUGGGGCUGUAGUCGGUCCCAAGGGUUGGGCUGUUCGCCCAUUAAAGCGGCACGCGAGCUGGGUUCAGAACGUCGUGAGACAGUUCGGUCCCUAUCCGUCGCGGGCGCAGGAAAUUUGAGAGGAGCUGUCCUUAGUACGAGAGGACCGGGAUGGACACACCGCUGGUGUACCAGUUGUUCCGCCAGGAGCAUCGCUGGGUAGCUAUGUGUGGCAGGGAUAAACGCUGAAAGCAUCUAAGCGUGAAGCCCCCCUCAAGAUGAGAUUUCCCAUUUCUUCGGAAAGUAAGAUCCCUGAAAGAUGAUCAGGUAGAUAGGUUUGGAGUGGAAGUGUAGCGAUA
rnacentral:rRNA from 1 species